rnacentral:rRNA from 1 species
CCUACGGGCGGCUGCAGUGGGGAAUAUUGCGCAAUGGGCGAAAGCCUGACGCAGCGACGCCGCGUGAGGGAUGAAGGUCUUCGGAUCGUAAACCUCUGUCAGCAGGGAAGAACGGUCACUGUGCUAAUCAGCAGUGAAUUGACGGUACCUGCAAAGGAAGCACCGGCUAACUCCGUGCCAGCAGCCGCGGUAAUACGGAGGGUGCGAGCGUUAAUCGGAAUUACUGGGCGUAAAGCGCUCGUAGGCGGUAUGUCAAGUCAAGGGUGAAAUCCCCGCGCUCAACGUGGGAACUGCCUUUGAAACUGGCAAACUGGAGUGUGUGAGAGGAUAGUGGAAUGCCAGGUGUAGGAGUGAAAUCGGUAGAGAUCGGGAGGAACAUCAGUGGCGAAGGGGAAUAUCUGGCACAUAACUGACGCGGAGGAGCGAAAGCGUGGGUAGCAAACAGGAGUAGAUACCCUAGUAGUC